UCACAGCUUACGCUGGCAGUUUCUCUAGAGUUCCACCAAUUAAGGUAUGGCAACUAGAAAUAGGGGUUGCGCUCGUUAUGGGACUUAACCCGACACCUCACGGCACGAGCUGACGACAGCCAUGCAGCACCUAGACAGUUGUCUUGCGAAAGUCUCCUUUCAGAGACGGUCAACUGUCUUUCAAGCCCAGGUAAGGUUCCUCGCGUACCAUCGAAUUAAACCACAUGCUCCUCCGCUUGUGCGGGCCCCCGUCAAUUCCUUUGAGUUUCAACCUUGCGGUCGUACUUCCCAGGUGGAUCACUUAAUGCUUUCGCUUAGUCGCUGACUGUGUAUCGCCAACAACGAGUGAUCAUCGUUUACGGUGCGGACUAC
rnacentral:misc_RNA from 1 species